GGUAACGUGGCCGAGUGGUCUAAGGCGCUGGUUUUAGGCACCAGUCUCCUCGGAGGCGCGAGUUCGAAUCUCGCCGUUGCCA